rnacentral:rRNA from 1 species
CCUACGGGAGGCAGCAGUGAGGAAUAUUGGUCAAUGGGCGGGAGCCUGAACCAGCCAAGUCGCGUGAGGGAAGACGGUCCUAUGGAUUGUAAACCUCUUUAGGCGGGGAGCAAUGCCGGGCACGUGUGCCCGGAGGGAGAGUACCCGCAGAAUAAGCAUCGGCUAACUCCGUGCCAGCAGCCGCGGUAAUACGGAGGAUGCGAGCGUUAUCCGGAUUUAUUGGGUUUAAAGGGUGCGUAGGCGGUUCGAUAAGUUAGAGGUGAAAUCCCGGGGCUCAACUCCGGCACUGCCUCUGAUACUGUCGG